GUGGGGAAUUUUGGACAAUGGGCGCAAGCCUGAUCCAGCAAUGCCGCGUGCAGGAUGAAGGCCUUCGGGUUGUAAACUGCUUUUGUACGGAACGAAAAGCUUCGGGCUAAUACCCUGGAGUCAUGACGGUACCGUAAGAAUAAGCACCGGCUAACUACGUGCCAGCAGCCGCGGUAAUACGUAGGGUGCAAGCGUUAAUCGGAAUUACUGGGCGUAAAGCGUGCGCAGGCGGUUUUGUAAGACAGAGGUGAAAUCCCCGGGCUCAACCUGGGAAAUGCCUUUGUGACGGCAAGGCUAGAGUGCGGCAGAGGGGGAUGGAAUUCCGCGUGUAGCAGUGAAAUGCGUAGAUAUGCGGAGGAACACCGAUGGCGAAGGCAAUCCCCUGGGCCUGUACUGACGCUCAUGCACGAAAGCGUGGGGAGCAAACAGGAUUAGAUACCCGUGUAGUCC
rnacentral:rRNA from 1 species